rnacentral:rRNA from 1 species
UUGACGGGACCCGCACAAGCGGUGGAUGAUGUGGUUUAAUUCGAUGCAACGCGAAAACCUUACCCACCUUUGACAUGUGCGGAAUCCUUUAGAGAUAGAGGAGUGCUCGAAAGAGAGCCGUAACACAGGUGCUGCAUGGCUGUCGUCAGCUCGUGUCGUGAGAUGUUGGGUUAAGUCCCGCAACGAGCGCAACCCUUGUCAUUAGUUGCUACGAAAGGGCACUCUAAUGAGACUGCCGGUGACAAACCGGAGGAAGGUGGGGAUGACGUCAAGUCCUCAUGGCCCUUAUAGGUGGGGCUACACACGUCAUACAAUGGCCGGUACAGAGGGUAGCCAACCCGCGAGGGGGAGCCAAUCCCACAAAGCCGGUCGUAGUCCGGAUCGCAGUCUGCAACUCGACUGCGUGAAGUCGGAAUCGCUAGUAAUCGCGGAUCAGCAUGUCGCGGUGAACACGUUCCCGGGUCUU